UGACCACUCAUUAAAUGAGCCAAAGCCAUACGGACAGCUGGGUCAAAUGCCGG
rfam:Clostridium spiroforme DSM 1552 Scfld_02_11 genomic scaffold, whole genome shotgun sequence.